UCCGGCCACAUUCUGACUGUUGGCCUGUGUGGCACCUCUUCCUCCCAUGUAGUUCUUAGGUGCAUAAUUUUGCAAAGAAAGGGGCUUCUGACUGAGCCACCUCAGACCUCUUCGUCAGUUCAGGGCUGCCACUUAUAUGCUUUUAAUGGAUUUUAAUUUCUUCUGAACAUUUGGGAAGAAAGGCAUCAGGACCCACAUAGUUUUAGAGUUCAGGGAACUGAGCCAUUUUCUACCUCUACUGAGUAACUGGCCAUUCCACAUAUUGUCUUGCCCCAGAUGUCCGAUGUCCCUCACUUAAAGACUCCUUCACAGUAGGGAGGGCCAGCUGCUGUUAUUAGUCUAUCAUUUCUCUGUGGCAAAGCCACAUUUGAAGCCAUUCAUUUCUCAGUGUGAGUUGUCAGGCCCCCCUUCAGACCAAUGGCUGGGGCAGGGAGUUGAGGAAAGUAGAAAGGACCAACAUAGGAGCAUGCUUGAUACAUCUGAGAAGGCUGGGAGGGCUAGUUAAAGGAUCUGGAAACACAUCACCCUUCCCAAAUGACCUUGCAAUGUCCUCCAGCCUGAGAUGCCACUUUUCUGGGACUGGAGUUGAGCUUUUCCUAAAGUGCAGAUCCAUUAAGUCUCAUGCCAACAAUUCCCAGGAGCCACGAGAUGUCCCUGCAGUUGGAGGCCUUUCUGGGCCCCUGGAACGCCUGGGAAGAAAAGGGGCCUUGAUGGCAGGGCUACUUGAGAGAGGACAGGACAAUGAAGAAGGCAGAGGAGUCAAAUGAGAAGUCACCCUGUGACAUCCCACAGGGCUCUUGUCCAGUGACUCACAUGGAAGCAGGAGAAACACCUGACGUCACCCAUGUCACUUCUGCAGUGUUUCAGGAAUUUAAGUUUCAAAAUUCUCUCUUCCCAAAUCUCUUCCAUUUACCAUCAUAAAAAAAAAUAAUGGCAUAGGACACCAGUCUCUUACCCCACCCCCUGUACCCCCAAACACCUUGACACUCAGCUGUGAAUAUCAAGGAAGAAUGCUGUGCACGAGACCUCAUCACUUGGUCCCCAAGGAUUCAGGGUCGCCAUCACCACAGCCACCUCCUCCAUUUCUGAGCUGCUCCCAGAGAGACCCUUUUUAUCCACUGCUGGGUGUGUGACACUAAAAGUGGAAUAUCUUAGUCCUGUGUAGUGAAGGGCCACUCCAAAAUGUUCACUUGGUUUUCUAUGAUUAUCUCUUAUCUUUUCCGUAUCAACUUUUCUUGAG